rnacentral:rRNA from 1 species
UACGUAGGGUGCAAGCGUUAAUCGGAAUUACUGGGCGUAAAGCGUGCGCAGGCGGUGAUGUAAGACAGAUGUGAAAUCCCCGGGCUCAACCUGGGAACUGCAUUUGUGACUGCAUCGCUGGGAGUGCGGCAGAGGGGGAUGGAAUUCCGCGUGUAGCAGUGAAAUGCGUAGAUAUCUGGAGGAACACCGGUGGCGAAGGCGGCAUCCUGGACCGGUAUUGACGCUGAGGCGCGAAAGCUAGGGGAGCAAACGGG